CGGUAAAUACGUAGGUGGCAAGCGUUGUCCGGGAUUUAUGGAGGGUAAAGCGAGCGCAAGGCGGUUUUUUAAGUCUGAUGUGAAAACCUUCGGCUCACCGAAGAAAGUGCAUCGGAAACUGGGGAACUUGAGUGCAGAAGAGGACAGUGGAACUCCAUGUGUAGCGGUGAAAUGCGUAGAUAUAUGGAAGAACACCAGUGGCGAAGGCGGCUGUCUGGUCUGUAACUGACGCUGAGGCUCGAAAGUAUGGGUAGCAAACAGGAUUAGAUACCCUGGUAGUCCAUACCGUAAACGAUGAAUGCUAAGUGUUGGAGGGUUUCCGCCCUUCAGUGCUGCAGCUAACGCAUUAAGCAUUCCGCCUGGGGAGUACGGCCGCAAGGCUGAAACUCAAAGGAAUUGACGGGGGCCCGCACAAGCGGUGGAGCAUGUGGUUUAAUUCGAAGCUACGCGAAGAACCUUACCAGGUCUUGACAUACUAUGCAAAUCUAAGAGAUUAGACGUUCCCUUCGGGGACAUGGAUACAGGUGGUGCAUGGUUGUCGUCAGCUCGUGUCGUGAGAUGUUGGGUUAAGUCCCGCAACGAGCGCAACCCUUAUUAUCAGUUGCCAGCAUUAAGUUGGGCACUCUGGUGAGACUGCCGGUGACAAACCGGAGGAAGGUGGGGAUGACGUCAAAUCAUCAUGCCCCUUAUGACCUGGGCUACACACGUGCUACAAUGGAUGGUACAACGAGUUGCGAACUCGCGAGAGUAAGCUAAUCUCUUAAAGCCAUUCUCAGUUCGGAUUGUAGGCUGCAACUCGCCUACAUGAAGUCGGAAUCGCUAGUAAUCGCGGAUCAGCAUGCCGCGGUGAAUACGUUCCCGGGCCUUGUACACACCGCCCGUCACACCAUGAGAGUUUGUAACACCCAAAGUCGGUGGGGUAACC
rnacentral:rRNA from 2 species